GGCAAUCUGCCCUUCACUCUGGGACAAGCCCUGGAAACGGGGUCUAAUACCGGAUAACACUCCUGCCUGCAUGGGUGGGGGUUAAAAGCUCCGGCGGUGAAGGAUGAGCCCGCGGCCUAUCAGCUUGUUGGUGAGGUAGUGGCUCACCAAGGCGACGACGGGUAGCCGGCCUGAGAGGGCGACCGGCCACACUGGGACUGAGACACGGCCCAGACUCCUACGGGAGGCAGCAGUGGGGAAUAUUGCACAAUGGGCGAAAGCCUGAUGCAGCGACGCCGCGUGAGGGAUGACGGCCUUCGGGUUGUAAACCUCUUUCAGCAGGGAAGAAGCGAAAGUGACGGUACCUGCAGAAGAAGCGCCGGCUAACUACGUGCCAGCAGCCGCGGUAAUACGUAGGGCGCAAGCGUUGUCCGGAAUUAUUGGGCGUAAAGAGCUCGUAGGCGGCUUGUCACGUCGGUUGUGAAAGCCCGGGGCUUAACCCCGGGUCUGCAGUCGAUACGGGCAGGCUAGAGUGUGGUAGGGGAGAUCGGAAUUCCUGGUGUAGCGGUGAAAUGCGCAGAUAUCAGGAGGAACACCGGUGGCGAAGGCGGAUCUCUGGGCCAUUACUGACGCUGAGGAGC
rnacentral:rRNA from 1 species